rnacentral:lncRNA from 1 species
CUGGUAACACCCAUCCCUCUCCACAAACAUAGCUGUUUGUGUAGUGGACUCGUGGCUGUCCCUCCCAGACUGUGACCUCUGGAGAGCAGAGCCUGGAGUCCCGUGGCACUGUCCCUGGCUGCACGCUCCUCGUGGCUGGACUAGCGGCUCAGGAAGGACUCAGGGAGGGUUUUACCAAUACAGGAGCCUUAGGUGACUUUCCUGAGUCCACCCCGUGAGACUAUGACGUGGGACCAGCACGGUGGUCCCCCAGCACUCAGAGCUAGGAUACGAAAAUGUCCGUUAAGUGAAUGAAUGCGUGAACACAGGGUUGCAUGAGUAUCAUCCGCAGAACCAAGAGAUGAUAAGUGCUCCUUCCUGGGCUUCCCUGUGGCUCAGCAGUAAAAAAUCCUCCUGCCAACACAGGAGACACGGGUUCGAUCCCUGGUCCGGGAAGAUUCCACACGCCGUGGAGCAACGUGCAGAGCCUGUGUGCCACCACUACUGAGCCUGCGCUCCAGAGCCCUGCAACAGGGGAGCCACCACAAUGAGAAACUCCCGCUCCGCAAGGAAGAGUAGCCUCCACUCGCUGCAACCAGAGAAAAGCCUGCGUCGCCGUGAAGACCCAGCACAACCAAAAAGAAAUAAACACCUUAAACGUCCAUACAGCCACAGGCUCACACCGACUUCAAGAUCAUUCCGAAAAUGCAGUUUCUGUGUACGAGAUGGGGCUCUGUGGUCCGGAGCCACAACCACGUGCCUCAGCCAUCUGACAGCGUUGGCUUCCGUGCCAGGUUCCAGACCCUGGAGAAAAGGGCUCAGAAAUGCCCGACAAAGCCCUCCCACCAGGCUCCAGGCCCCGCCUCCAACAGGACUUCUUCCCGGGGAAUCGCAUCUCUGUUAGGCAGGCCACCCGGGGACAAGGUUCCAGAUUGCAGCAACCCCGCUGGGAUGGGGGGAACGCAUGUGGAAGGGCUGGGGGUCCAAGAAGCUCCCAGAAGGAGAAGAGUGGAGUCCAGGUGGUGAAGAAAGUGGGCUGUGGAGCUGGACAGCAAGGGGGUGGGGUUCAAGUCUCAGCCACUCCAGUCCAUCACCUGAGAACCCUGGACUCUUGACUGCAUCCCUCUAAGCCUCCGUGUUCUCACCUGGGAAGUGGGGAUGACGGUGGUACCUGCUGCACAGAGGUGUUGCCAGGAUUCAGUGAGAUGCUGAGAUUCCCAUGCUUGACACGGGGCUCUGCGUGGAUCUUCAGCACACUAGAUGUUCUCACGAGUGAUAAAGGGAGGAAAUGAUAACUCAGCAGUUGCUGUGAGCCAGGCUGGGGGCCACGUCUUUGGUAUAUACUGUCCCGCACCAUCCUCACAGCAGCCUGUUUGAAAGAGGAGGACAUGGAGG